UACGGAGGGUGCAAGCGUUAUCCGGAUUCACUGGGUUUAAAGGGUGCGUAGGUGGCUAUCUAAGUCAGUGGUGAAAUAUCUCAGCUUAACUGAGAGGGUGCCAUUGAUACUGGAUAGCUUGAGUACAGAUGAGGUAGGCGGAAUUGACGGUGUAGCGGUGAAAUGCAUAGAUAUCGUCAAGAACACCGAUAGCGAAGGCAGCUUACCAAGCUGUAACUGACACUGAGGCACGAAAGUGUGGGGAUCAAACAGG
rnacentral:rRNA from 1 species